CAAGCUCCGUCCGUGCUGUGCAAUGCUGCCUCUUGGUGGAGCGCAGCUAAACACUCGGCACGGCUUUCCACUCUCCUCUCCAGCCUAAGCCUCCAGACCUGCACAGAAGCAAAACCAGUCUGUGUCUUCACCUAUUAAGGUGUCCACGUCCUUACAAUUCCUGUCUGCCUGCUGCAUGUGAAAAGGACAAAUGCCAUACUUACCAGGACAUUAUUAAAGGGAGCACAGUUCAAACACGAGAUCUUCCAAACUUCUGGAGCUGUGUUUGUUGUUGUUGUUGUUUUAAGACGGAGCCUCUCUUCAGCAGCAGCACACAGAUUCUCCCCGAUACAGAAAGAUUUGCAUCCCCUGCAGUGGCAGGCCAGCAGAAGUAUCUCUGUCGUGCUGGGUACCAGCCAGUUGGAUGGUACAAUUCUGCUGAUGGUGCCAGCCAACGUCACCAGCAAAUUGCAUCCCAGAUGCCCUGGAAACGGUGGCGAGCCUCCUGGUAGUCCCAAGGGAAUGCAGGCUCACUGGAAGCCCAGGUCAGUUGGCAGCACGAACAGCUGGAGAAAAGGCAUAAAACAAGGUCAGGUCUACCAGGCUUUACUGGUAAAGGGCAAAACUGCAAACUUGAGCAUAUCGGUCUGGAUAAAAGCAUUUGUGUAGAAAAAAAAUACUCUAAGCAUAG